CUUUGCUUUGCAGGCCCUUGAAAAGGAUCUUUAUUCAAUGUCUCUUCUAGACAGAACACAGGAUGUAAACAGAGUUACUGAAGUACUUCAUGGAAAAGUAGGACACCUUGUGCCAAGAACUGGAGGCACUCCUAUGAACAUUGAAUUUUACAUUUCUCCCUAUCAAGUUUUGGAAGCAGAACUAAAUCCCGGUAAACUUAGAAAAACAGAAAUAACUGAUGUCAUAACUUUUUCAGGACUACCUAUUUCG
ensembl:lncRNA